rnacentral:rRNA from 1 species
CAAAAACAUGUCUUUUUGAUUAUAAUUUAAAGUCUAACCUGCCCAAUGAGGAGUUAAAUGGCCGCGGUAUUUUGACCGUGCAAAGGUAGCAUAAUCAUUAGUUUUUUAAUUGAAAGCUGGUAUGAAUGGUUGGACGAGAAAAUAACUGUCUCGAUUUAAAUUAAAUUAGAAUUUUAUUUAUGAGUAAAAAAGCUCAUAUGAGUUUAAAAGACGAGAAGACCCUAUAGAAUUUAAUAUAUAUAUAUAUACAUUAUUUUUAGAAUUAAUAAUAAGUUAUAUAUAAUUAUAUUUUGUUGGGGUGAUAGAAAAAUUAAAUUAACUUUUUUUAUAUAAAAACAUUAAUGUAUGAAAAAGUGAUCCGUUAAUUACGAUUAUAAGAUUAAAUUACCUUAGGGAUAACAGCGUAAUUUUUUUUUAGAGUUCUUAUCGAAAAAAGAGUUUGCGACCUCGAUGUUGGAUUAAAAUUAACUUUUGGUGUAGGGGCU